UGGGGAAUAUUGCACAAUGGGCGCAAGCCUGAUGCAGCCAUGCCGCGUGUAUGAAGAAGGCCUUCGGGUUGUAAAGUACUUUCAGCGGGGAGGAAGGGAGUAAAGUUAAUACCUUUGCUCAUUGACGUUACCCGCAGAAGAAGCACCGGCUAACUCCGUGCCAGCAGCCGCGGUAAUACGGAGGGUGCAAGCGUUAAUCGGAAUUACUGGGCGUAAAGCGCACGCAGGCGGUUUGUUAAGUCAGAUGUGAAAUCCCCGUGCUCAACCUGGGAACUGCAUCUGAUACUGGCAAGCUUGAGUCUCGUAGAGGGGGGUAGAAUUCCAGGUGUAGCGGUGAAAUGCGUGGAGAUCUGGAGGAAUACCGGUGGCGAAGGCGGCCCCCUGGACGAAGACUGACGCUCAGGUGCGAAAGCGUGGGGAGCAAACAGG
rnacentral:rRNA from 1 species